rnacentral:rRNA from 1 species
UACAGAGGUGGCAAGCGUUGUUCGGAAUUACUGGGCGUAAAGGGCGCGUAGGCGGUUCGAUAAGUCCCGUGUGAAAGCCCACGGCUCAACUGGGGAACUGCACGGGAAACUGACGGACUUGAGUUCGGGAGAGGGAAGCGGAAUUCCGGGUGUAGCGGUGAAAUGCGUAGAUAUCCGGAGGAACACCGGUGGCGAAGGCGGCUUCCUGGACCGACACUGACGCUGAGGCGCGAAAGCGUGGGGAGCGAACAGG